rnacentral:rRNA from 1 species
ACUCCUGCGGGAGGCAGCAGUGGGGAAUAUUGCACAAUGGGCGCAAGCCUGAUGCAGCGACGCCGCGUGGGGGAUGAAGGCCUUCGGGUUGUAAACUCCUUUCGCUAGGGACGAAGCUUUUUUGUGACGGUACCUAGAUAAGAAGCACCGGCUAACUACGUGCCAGCAGCCGCGGUAAUACGUAGGGUGCGAGCGUUGUCCGGAAUUACUGGGCGUAAAGGGCUCGUAGGUGGUUUGUCGCGUCGUCUGUGAAAUUCUGGGGCUUAACUCCGGGCGUGCAGGCGAUACGGGCAUAACUUGAGUGCUGUAGGGGUAACUGGAAUUCCUGGUGUAGCGGUGAAAUGCGCAGAUAUCAGGAGGAACACCGAUGGCGAAGGCAGGUUACUGGGCAGUUACUGACGCUGAGGAGCGAAAGCAUGGGUAGCGAACAGGAUUAGAAACCCUGGUAGUCCCA